AUACAUGCAAGUCGGACGGGAUUGAGGAGCUUGCUCUUCAUGAGAGUGGCGCACGGGUGCGUAACACGUAUGUAACCUACCUUGUUCAGGGGGAUAGCCUCUCGAAAGAGAGAUUAAGACCGCAUAACAUUAAGCUGUGGCAUCACAGGUUAAUCAAAUAUUUAUAGGAACAAGAUGGGCAUGCGGAACAUUAGCUAGUUGGUAAGGUAACGGCUUACCAAGGCUACGAUGUUUAGGGGAUCUGAGAGGAUGACCCCCCACACUGGUACUGAGACACGGACCAGACUCCUACGGGAGGCAGCAGUAAGGAAUAUUGGUCAAUGGACGGAAGUCUGAACCAGCCAUGCCGCGUGCAGGAAGACGGCCCUACGGGUUGUAAACUGCUUUUAUACCGGAAUAAACCUUUCUAUGUAUAGGGAGCUGAAUGCACGGUAAGAAUAAGGAUCGGCUAACUCCGUGCCAGCAGCCGCGGUAAUACGGAGGAUCCAAGCGUUAUCCGGAUUUAUUGGGUUUAAAGGGUGCGUAGGUGGUUCUUUAAGUCAGGGGUGAAAGACGGCAGCUUAACUGUCGCAGUGCCUUUGAUACUGAAGAACUUGAAUACACUAGAGGUAGGCGGAAUGUGACAAGUAGCGGUGAAAUGCAUAGAUAUGUCACAGAACACCAAUUGCGAAGGCAGCUUACUAUGGUGUCAUUGACACUGAGGCACGAAAGCGUGGGGAUCAAACAGGAUUAGAUACCCUGGUAGUCCACGCCCUAAACGAUGAAUACUCGAUGUUGGCGAUAUACGGUCAGCGUCUAAGCGAAAGCGUUAAGUAUUCCACCUGGGGAGUACGCCCGCAAGGGUGAAACUCAAAGGAAUUGACGGGGGCCCGCACAAGCGGAGGAGCAUGUGGUUUAAUUCGAUGAUACGCGAGGAACCUUACCCGGGCUUGAAAGUU
rnacentral:rRNA from 1 species